GCAAGGGCUAUGCCACCGCUGAGACCCCAUCCCUUCCCUCAAAGGCUGAGUGUCAUAGUCCCAACUCAAACUGUUCCCCAGCAUUGAGGCAUCAUCCCUGUGGCUGAAUCCUCUCACGCUCCAGAUCGGGGUAGCUGUGUCCAAGCUGCCUGUUGGGAUUGGUCCCUGUGAGUUGUACCUGGAGGAGCGUUGGAUGCCACCUUCCCCCUGAUUUGUGGUCUGCAGGGUUGUGUGGUGGAACAGGGAUGGUCCCUGGCUGUGGGAAGCCCUGAGGGAAGGUCACAGUGUGAAGAAUGGCCUGGAGCUGUGUGGGCCCAGUUUGUGUCUCCUACCCCAGCUGAGCCCUGUGUAGCUGGAGACGCCAACGUGCUCUCCAGGAUGUGGCUGUGCUGGGACAUAGAGGAGGUUUGGCUGUGGAUGAAAGAAAUCAGCUGGAUGGGAAGAUCACACCUCUGGACUCCAG